UACGGAGGGUGCAAGCGUUAUCCGGAUUCACUGGGUUUAAAGGGUGCGUAGGUGGCGCGUUAAGUCCGUUGUGAAAUCCCUGGGCUCAACCCAGGAAUUGCUUCGGAUACUGGCGUGCUUGAGGCUAGUAGGGGUCACUGGAACUGACGGUGGAGCGGUGAAAUGCGUAGAUAUCGUCAGGAACGCCGAUGGUGAAGACAGGUGACUGGGCUAGUUCUGACACUGAGGCGCGAAAGCGUGGGGAGCGAACGGG
rnacentral:rRNA from 1 species